rnacentral:rRNA from 1 species
GAUGAACGCUGGCGGCGUGCCUAACACAUGCAAGUCGAGCGAUUCUCUUCGGAGAAGAGCGGCGGACGGGUGAGUAACGCAUGGGUAACCUGCCCUGUACACACGGAUAACAUACCGAAAGGUAUGCUAAUACGAGAUAAUAUGCUUUUAUAGCAUGGUAGAAGUAUCAAAGCUCCGGCGGUACAGGAUGGACCCGCGUCUGAUUAGCUAGUUGGUAAGGUAACGGCUUACCAAGGCGACGAUCAGUAGCCGACCUGGGAGGGUGAUCGGCCACAUUGGAACUGAGACACGGUCCAAACUCCUACGGGAGGCAGCAGUGGGGAAUAUUGCACAAUGGGCGAAAGCCUGAUGCAGCAACGCCGCGUGAGCGAUGAAGGCCUUCGGGUCGUAAAGCUCUGUCCUCAAGGAAGAUAAUGACGGUACUUGAGGAGGAAGCCCCGGCUAACUACGUGCCAGCCGCCGCGGUAA